AUAAGGAAGCAAGCUGAGCAAGCCACAAGGAGCAAACCGGGGAGAAGGAAGUACUUGCUUCCAUUGUCACAGUGUUGGGGACUCCUGAGAUCCCUGGGGAGUUGAAAGGAUCUCCAGAAGAGAUGGGUAGGAAAGCCCACUAGGACUCAUUCAGCAAAGGCUACCAGGUGGAGGAGCCAUGCUCUGGAUCGAGGCUUCCACAGAAAUGACUGAUCCUCAAACCCAAGCAAACAGUGCAGAUGAUGAGCCUGGAGUGUCCGUGCGAGCGGAGUAUGGCAUCCUGGAACAGACAACACCAGAGGACUCGGAAGGACACAGUGGACGCCAGCAUGUGUCAGUGCAGAACAUUCUGGAACAGUACAGUCAAGGUCAUCAAUGAGAAGCCAUCGCCUCCAGGGAGGGCCUGAGGACGUGUCGAUUGCCUGCCACGUGUUCCCUGAGUGGGACCUUGGAGCAGAAAAAGAUAGUAGAGGGAAACUGAGGAAACCGGAAGAACAGUCUUUGGAAGCAGUACCCGGGUCCUAGUUGGCCAUGAGGAUAAAGUGUGCCUUAUGGUAGGCGGUGCCUUAUGGUGGGCGGUGCCUUAUGGUGGGCGGUGCCUUAUGGUGGGUGGUGCUUAUGGUGACACUGGUGUGGGACUAGGGGAACGCAGAGACAGCUUCAUAAUUUCCCUGCAACAUCUAAAGCUGUUAGGGAGAUAAAGUUUAUUGUCAAAGAAGAAAAUCAUAUUAGGAAAACGUGAGAAAAGAUUUUGCCGGUGGCGAAGAAGCCUAUGAAAAGUUGUCGUCAUUCAUUAGGGAAAAAAAAUAUAAAUUCAAAUGUGAUGAUAGCUAGCCCAGUGCACCACUGGUCAAACAAAACAAAACAAAAACAAAAACAAAACAACACUGACAGGGCUGGGGAUGUACUGUGCUGGUACAGCCUGCCCAACAUACAGAAAACCUGGGUUCAAGCCCAGCUCUGCCUAAAAAAAAUAAAAAAAUAUGUAGUCAAGGAC
rnacentral:lncRNA from 1 species